rnacentral:lncRNA from 1 species
CAUGGGGGUGGCUUCCACCAUACUGUUCUCAUGGUAGAGAAUAAGUCUCACGAGAUCUGAUGGUUUUAUCAGGGGUUUCCACUUCUGCGUCUUCCUCAUUCUCUGUUUGCCUGCUGCCAUCCAUGUAAGACGGGACUCCUUCCUCCUUGCCUUUCGCCAUGAUUGUGAGGCUCCCCAAGCCACGUGGAACUGGCUGGAGUGACUGUCAACAAGCUAACCAGUGAGACAGGCGCGAGCCCACACUCAGGGACUUGGGCUUCCCUGGAAGCCUCAUCCACUCCCCAUCUCACCCAAGCUUUCCUGCAAGCCUGGAACGCCUCAUUUCACCAGACCUCUUCCUCCUGAAUACCCCACGCGUCCUUAAGCGCAUACACCAACUUUCACGCGAAGCAGAAUCACGUGGCAUUCGGAACUUCGUGUACGUGUGAAAUGUAAAAGUCCUGAACUGCACCAAAUAUCAGCUUUCACACACGCAGCAACCAUUUCUCUGCAGCCCAUCACCCAAGGACCAAAUCUCACACUCAACUUGACAGGUGUGGAAACAGCUCAUGACUGGGUCGUACCUGGCUCCCGGGGACAGGACAGCAGUGGCUGCCAGGCUGCUGGUGGGCAGUUCAGGGCCAGCAGAUCCCACCCCACCUCCCCUCCAAGCCCCCACGGGGAUGUGGCCCCCUGGCCUUUAUUCCUUCAUUGCUUGAAAGCUGGUUGGCAGUUUGUUCUCAGCCUGGCUUUGAGUCUGGGGACCCCAGGACAGGACUGGUCCCUGCUUUCCUGGAGCAAAUGUGGCUCGGAAACAGCCGUAAAGAUGCCCAGCACCAGGCAGGGACCCGUGGAGGGCCCACAGGGGUGUGAGGGAGCCCUGCUCUAUCAGCCAUGUCACUGGACAGGUUGCCUCAGCUCUUGAGACCUCAGGAUGAAACAUGGCAUGUUCUAGAAGCAUUUGUGACCAGGAGAGCUAGAGACUUUCCUAAGGGUCUCAACCAAGCCCUGUGGGGCUCCUUGGCGCCCCAGCCCUCAGAGGGUCCCGCUGGUGGACGAGGGGCUAAGGAGACCUUGGCCAGACUGGCACUGGGAGAGCAAAUUCUCCCCUUUCUCCCACCCCAUGAGCAUGACCCCGAAUGGUUCUCUGUCCAUUCCGGACCUCAUCCUCUCCGUCGUAAAUGAACAGACUGGAUCAGACCACAGAAGUUUCCCGUAGCUCUGGCCUGCGUUCUGUAACUCUAGACAAGCUAGGCCAUCAUGGCUCCUCCCCCAGGACAGAUGAUGAGCAGAAACAGAGGGUGUCUUUCUGUAGAUCACACAACAGAGGGAUACCUGAGUGGAGGACAGACAGAGGUUUCUGAGCCACCGCCUAAGGCUCCUACUGGCAGCAAACCAAGAGGUGUGGCAAGUGCAGGGCGGUGCAUGAGUGUUUGCAGGUGCAGGGCGGUGCAUGAGAGAGUGUUUGCAGGUGCAGGGCGGUGCAUAAGACAGUGUGCGUAGGUGCAGGGUGGUGCAUGUGUGCUUGAACAUAGGCAUGAGACAGUGUGUGCAUGUGUGUGAGUGUGUGUUUGGGGGAGUGGGCUGAGCCCACUCAAACCUCUCCCCAACCCCCAGCACUUUGUCCAAACAGUUCCAGGCAGCCUGGAUAGGCUGGGGUAUGGAUCUCUUUUUCUGGCCUCUUGACCUCCCCUGGAGGCUGGGAGGCCUCCCCUUCUCCUCAACCCCAUGUAUUUUUAGGCCAUCUCCCUGCAGGCAAGAUCCCCGGAGACCAUGGUGCAGGCAAGUGUCUACAGCUGUCGCCUGGAAGCCUCCUUUCAGGCCAGCAGCAGUGGGGGCAGGGUGUGCAGAAUGAAGUGGCCAGUGGUGCCUCUAGACUUCAGUUCUCUUAGUGGAAAAAUGGGGAGGAUAAAAUCAGUUUGGUGGGAGGUGACGUGAGCUGAUGCAUGGAGGGUGCUUGGCACGGAUCCUGGCAUUCAGCAGAAGCUUGACAAAUGUCAGCGUGGCCCCACGUCCCAGGUACAUGUGCCCCCAUGUCUGCCAUAGGUGCUACAGUUCACAAAGUGUGCUUGCAGACUUCCUUCUGUCUCAUCCUCACAACUGCCCCGGGGGCAAAGACAGCCCUUGUUAGCCUCCUUCCUCCCUGUGCUCCACAGCCUGCUUGGUUCCAGGAAUCAGGAGAGGAAUGUGGCUCCUCCAGCCCUUAGUUUGUCAAUCCCGGCAGGGAGGUGACUGGAGUGGGAGAGGUCUGGGGGACCCUCUGCAAGGCUGGCCUAUCGAUCUUCCUGGGCACAGUGAUGCAGAGCCCAGGGUGGGGUUGGGUAGAAGGGGCUGGAUUAACGAAGUGACAGAGAGCUUGAAGAGCAUGAAACACCCAGCUGGCAGCACAGCACAGGCACUCAGUAAAUAGUCGUCAUCAUCAUCACCACCUUCAUCAUCAUCAUCAUCACCAUCAUCAUCAUCAUCAUCACCAUCAUCACCAUCACCAUCAUCAUCAUCAUCACCAUCAUCAUCAUCACCAUCAUCAUCAUCAUCACCAUCAUGAUCAUCAUCAUCAUCAUCAUCAUCAUCAUCAUCAUCAUCAUCAUC